rnacentral:misc_RNA from 1 species
GGCAACUUCUAUUCAAAUGUCAGCUUAGAGACAUGCAAGAAAUUAUGUUUGGAAUCGUGUAAUUGCCAAGGAUUCCAGUACAGGCAUAUUGGCGACACUAUCGUUCCUUAUUGUUACCCUAAGAUGUUAUUAUCAAAUGGGCAAUAUACACCAAGCUUCGGUGGAGAUUUCUAUAUCAAAGUUCCUAAAACAAGCCUAUUCUCGGGUAAUGAGGAAGCUUCAGGAUUA